CCCGGAGCCAGGUGUCGGCGACAAGGGGCAAGGGAGGGUCCCAGGCUGCGGCGGCGGCCCGGCCAGUGCCGGAAUGGGGAUCUCAUUCAACAGCCUCCUCUCCACCACCCUUUGGGUCAGGCCGGGCACAGAAAUCCCCCCGAACGACUGCUGGAAGUUUUCAAGGACUUAAAAAUAAAUCCGCAGCCUUAAGUUGCGAAAGUCAGCCCCACAAAGUGCCACCCUUCGGGAAACAUCUAUGACGCGGCAGAGAUGAGGCGGGAGUCCCCAGAGAGACCGAGCCAUCGGAGAGCAGGGAGUGCUGGGCUGCGUCCCGGGAGACCGCGGCACGGAGCCCGGGCAGCUUCCUGACGGGAGAAGGCAGCGAGGCCGCGGCACCGUCCCGGCUCCGGGCCCAGGAGGACCCGAGGGUGAAGGGACUGAGGGACGGACCAGCGCGGAGGGGAGGGGGGCGCCCCGACCACCUCCUCCUCCGCCGAGAGGGUCUGCCCGCGCCGGCUCCCCGCGCGGCCCCGCGCCCUACCUCGCGCCUCGGCUCCUCCUCUUUGUUCGCGGCCCCGCAGCGGCGGCGGAGACCGAUGCAGACGCGGCCCCGCCGCGCCCGCCGCUCGCAGUGUCUCUGACGCCGCGGCGGCACCCGGAGACUCCUCUCUGCUGCCCCCCUCACGCGCGCACACACACACGCCGCCGCCGCCACCUCCCACUUUCCCAGCCGAGGAGGGCGGAGGAAGAGGAGGAGGAGGAGGAGGAGGAGGUGGAGGAGGAGGCCGAGCCGCUGCGGGCGCCCGGGGCGCGAGGGGGCGGCCCCGCACCACAGCGCCUCCCCCCGGAGCGGGCGCGGCACCUCCGGGAACUGCGGGGCCGGCGCGCCUUCCUCCUGGCGCUGAGGUACCUGCGCGCGGUCCCCACCCGCCCCCGGGAGCGCGAUGGGGGCGGCGGCCUGAGGGGGCGCUGCGAGAGCCGAGAGUCCAGGAAGCGGCGUCCGCAGGAGCGAGUGAGGCCUGCGGAGACACUUGGUAGAGCGAGAGUUAAGUGUUGUUACCCCUAGGUCCGAGAGAGACAUGUUGGAUCAGCGUGGAAACAGUCCCGGGGCAGCUGUCCACCAGCCCGUGCUCCGGCCGCCGCCGCCCGACCUUGCUCCGCCCGCACCAGGCACCACGCUCCCUCCCCGGGGCACAAACCCGAGGCAGCUGGGAGGAUUGCUGACCCAGAAACUCAAAAUGGGAGGGGAGAGAGACGAGGAAAACAGUUGUGGGGAUUUACUGUUAUACCUGCCCUAAAUGGGGAAAACUCAAAGUCUGACCCCAGGUGAGCUGGCACCGUGGAGCUAGCUGAGAGGCGCCUUUUAUCUGAGCCUGGGAGGCAGCCAUAACCAUCACUGUAAUCUUUGUUUCGGUUGCCGCAGGCGCACACCUGUAAACUCUGAAAUGUAGAUUUGAAAAACAUGUCCACGGGUUUUGAGGUUUGUAUUCCAGACUCGAUUCAGAGGGGAAAACAAAUUAAAAUUUUAUCAUUA
rnacentral:lncRNA from 1 species